rnacentral:rRNA from 1 species
UCUAGCUUGCUAGAUGCUGACGAGUGGCGCACGGGUGCGUAACGCGUAUACAAUCUACCUUUGACUGAGGGAUAGCCCAGAGAAAUUUGGAUUAAUACCUCAUAGUAUUAUAAUUAGGCAUCUUUUUAUAAUUAAAACUUCGGUGGUUAAAGAUGAGUAUGCGUACUAUUAGCUAGUUGGUAAGGUAAAAGCUUACCAAGGCAACGAUAGUUAGGGGGCCUGAAAGGGUGAUCCCCCACACUGGUACUGAGACACGGACCAGACUCCUACGGGAGGCAGCAGUGAGGAAUAUUGCACAAUGGAGGAAACUCUGAUGCAGCCAUGCCGCGUGCAGGAAGAAUGCCCUAUGGGUUGUAAACUGCUUUUAUACAAGAAGAAACCUCGGUACGUGUACCGACUUGACGGUAUUGUAUGAAUAAGCACCGGCUAACUCCGUGCCAGCAGCCGCGGUAAUACGGAGGGUGCAAGCGUUAUCCGGAUUUAUUAGGUUUAAAGGGUCCGCAGGCGGAAUAUUAAGUCAGUGGUGAAAGCCUACAGCUCAACUGUAGAACUGCCAUUGAUACUGAUAUUCUUGAGUAUGGAUG